rnacentral:tRNA from 1 species
GGGGCAGUAGCUCAGUUGGGAGAGCGGUGCGUUCGCAGCGCACAGGUCAGCGGUUCAACUCCGCUCUGCUCCA